AGAAUCAACGCUGGCGGCGUGCCUAACACAUGCAAGUCGCACGAGAAAGGGUAGCAAUACCUGAGUAAAGUGGCGCACGGGUGAGUAACACGUGAAUAAUCUACCUCCGAGUGGGGAAUAACCUAGAGAAAUCUGGGCUAAUACCGCAUAACACUUACGAGUCAAAGCAGCAAUGCGCUUGGAGAGGAGUUCGCGGCAGAUUAGCUAGUUGGCGGGGUAAUGGCCCACCAAGGCGAUGAUCUGUAUCCGGCCUGAGAGGGCGCACGGACACACUGGAACUGAAACACGGUCCAGACUCCUACGGGAGGCAGCAGUGGGGAAUUUUGCGCAAUGGGGGAAACCCUGACGCAGCAACGCCGCGUGGAGGAUGAAAUCCCUUGGGAUGUAAACUCCUUUCGAUAGGGAAGAUAAUGGCGGUACCUAUAGAAGGAGCCCCGGCUAACGUUCGUGCCAGCAGCCGC
rnacentral:rRNA from 1 species